ACGAACGCUGGCGGCGUGCCUAAUACCUGCAAGUAGAACGCUGAAGGAGGAGCUUGCUUCUCCGGAUGAGUUGCGAACGGGUGAGUAACGCGUAGGUAACCUGCCUGGUAGCGGGGGAUAACUAUUGGAAACGAUAGCUAAUACCGCAUAACAGUAGAUGUUGCAUGACAUUUGCUUAAAAGGUGCAAUUGCAUCACUACCAGAUGGACCUGCGUUGUAUUAGCUAGUUGGUGAGGUAACGGCUCACCAAGGCGACGAUACAUAGCCGACCUGAGAGGGUGAUCGGCCACACUGGGACUGAGACACGGCCCAGACUCCUACGGGAGGCAGCAGUAGGGAAUCUUCGGCAAUGGACGGAAGUCUGACCGAGCAACGCCGCGUGAGUGAAGAAGGUUUUCGGAUCGUAAAGCUCUGUUGUAAGAGAAGAACGAGUGUGAGAGUGGAAAGUUCACACUGUGACGGUAUCUUACCAGAAAGGGACGGCUAACUACGU
rnacentral:rRNA from 1 species